GACGAACCGUGCGAACGUUAUUCGGAAUCAUUGGGCUUAAAGGGCGCGUAGGCGGGCGACCGCGUCGAGUGCUGAAAGCCCCCCGGCUCAACCGGGGGAACGGGCCUCGAUACGGGGUCGCCUCGAGGCGAGGAGGGGGACCUGGGAACUUCCGGUGGAGCGGUGAAAUGCGUUGGAGAUCGGAAGGAACGCCGACGGCGAAAGCAAGGUCCUGGAGUCGUCCUGACGCUGAGGCGCGAAAAGCCAGGGGGAGCAAAGCGGG
rnacentral:rRNA from 1 species